CAUGCUCCGGAAGAUGCUUCAGCUUUUGUAAACCUAUCACACUUACAGCAAAUUAUUUUUUCUGACCGCAUUUCUUAUUUUGCUAUCCAUAAAUAUAUGUCCUCAGCUGGUCGUUUUGAUCAGUUAGACUAGAUGAAUGAGUAGAAGAUAUUAUUAUAGUGAUAACUAUAACAGUAGUGAACAAUAGUUUCCAAGAAAUUCAAUGCGUAAUGAAUUUGAGAUUUAACAUUAAUUCAUUUGAGUAGACAAAAGAAUUCUAUGUCUGCCCGGAACGCCUGUUUUAGCGUGACUUUGUUCAUCUAAAUUGCAUUAGAUGAAUCUAAAAAUAAAAUUGACAUCACCAAAAUAAUGAAUUAAUUCUUCUGAAGUUUCCGGGAAUUCGAUAAUUAAAAUGCUCAAGUUUGACAGCGUACUCCAAGUUUCCUUGUUGGCCAUCUUCUUAAAUAUUUUAUCGAGAUCAUACAUGCAAGAAAUUCCGGGUAGGUGAACGGUGUUGUGAAUUUGAAUGUCUUGAUGACCCAACGCUUUUCCGGUUGCCAUACAGUAGAAAUAACUCUUAUUACAUACCACUUAUUUCAAAAUUUCAUAUCAUAAGUAUUACU